ACUCCUACGGGAGGCAGCAGUGGGGAAUAUUGCACAAUGGGCGCAAGCCUGAUGCAGCCAUGCCGCGUGUAUGAAGAAGGCCUUCGGGUUGUAAAGUACUUUCAGCAGUGAGGAAGGUGGGUACUGUUAAUAGCAUACUCAUUUGACGUUAGCUGCAGAAGAAGCACCCGGCUAACUCCGUGCCAGCAGCCGCGGUAAUACGGAGGGUGCGAGCGUUAAUCGGAAUUACUGGGCGUAAAGCGCAUGCAGGUGGUUUGUUAAGUCAGAUGUGAAAGCCCGGGGCUCAACCUCGGAAUUGCAUUUGAAACUGGCAAACUAGAGUACUGUAGAGGGGGGUAGAAUUUCAGGUGUAGCGGUGAAAUGCGUAGAGAUCUGAAGGAAUACCGGUGGCGAAGGCGGCCCCCUGGACACGAUACUGACACUCAGAUGCGAAAGCGUGGGGAGCAAACAGGAUUAGAUACCCGUGGCAGGCUCUGCG
rnacentral:rRNA from 1 species